rnacentral:rRNA from 1 species
UUUAUGCCGGCGACCGGCGCACGGGUGAGUAACACGUAUGCAACCUGCCCGUCUCAGGGGGAUAACCCGGGGAAACCCGGCCUAAUACCCCAUGCCGCCCGGACCGGGCAUCCGGUCCGGGCGAAAGGAGGAAUCCGGUGGCGGCUGGGCAUGCGGCGCAUUAGCUUGACGGCGGGGUAACGGCCCACCGUGGCGACGAUGCGUAGGGGUUCUGAGAGGAAGGCCCCCCACACUGGAACUGAGACACGGUCCAGACUCCUACGGGAGGCAGCAG